rnacentral:rRNA from 1 species
UACGGGGGGGGCAAGCGUUGUUCGGAAUUACUGGGCGUAAAGGGCUCGUAGGCGGCCCAUUAAGUCAGACGUGAAAUCCCUCGGCUUAACCGGGGAACUGCGUCUGAUACUGGAUGGCUUGAAUCCGGGAGAGGGAUGCGGAAUUCCAGGUGUAGCGGUGAAAUGCGUAGAUAUCUGGAGGAACACCGGUGGCGAAGGCGGCAUCCUGGACCGGCAUUGACGCUGAGGAGCGAAAGCCAGGGGAGCAAACGGG